CUUGCUCUUCGGAUUAGUGGCGAACGGGUGAGUAACACGUGAGCAAUCUGCCCUUGACUCUGGGAUAAGCGUUGGAAACGACGUCUAAUACCGGAUACGACCUUGGAAGGCAUCUUCUGGGGUGGAAAGAAUUUUGGUCAGGGAUGAGCUCGCGGCCUAUCAGCUAGUUGGUGAGGUAAUGGCUCACCAAGGCGACGACGGGUAGCCGGCCUGAGAGGGUGACCGGCCACACUGGGACUGAGACACGGCCCAGACUCCUACGGGAGGCAGCAGUGGGGAAUAUUGCACAAUGGGCGAAAGCCUGAUGCAGCAACGCCGCGUGAGGGACGACGGCCUUCGGGUUGUAAACCUCUUUUAGUAGGGAAGAAGCGAAAGUGACGGUACCUGCAGAAAAAGCACCGGCUAACUACGUGCCAGCAGCCGCGGUAAUACGUAGGGUGCAAGCGUUGUCCGGAAUUAUUGGGCGUAAAGAGCUCGUAGGCGGUUUGUCGCGUCUGCUGUGAAAACCCGAGGCUCAACCUCGGGCCUGCAGUGGGUACGGGCAGACUAGAGUGCGGUAGGGGAGAUUGGAAUUCCUGGUGUAGCGGUGGAAUGCGCAGAUAUCAGGAGGAACACCAAUGGCGAAGGCAGAUCUCUGGGCCGUAACUGACGCUGAGGAGCGAAAGCAUGGGGAGCGAACAGGAUUAGAUACCCUGGUAGUCCAUGCCGUA
rnacentral:rRNA from 1 species